rnacentral:rRNA from 1 species
AUUGAACGCUGGCGGCAGGCCUAACACAUGCAAGUCGAGCGGAUGAGAGGAGCUUGCUCUUUGAUUUAGCGGCGGACGGGUGAGUAAUGCCUAGGAAUCUGCCUGGUAGUGGGGGACAACGUUUCGAAAGGAACGCUAAUACCGCAUACGUCCUACGGGAGAAAGUGGGGGAUCUUCGGACCUCACGCUAUCAGAUGAGCCUAGGUCGGAUUAGCUAGUUGGUGAGGUAAUGGCUCACCAAGGCGACGAUCCGUAACUGGUCUGAGAGGAUGAUCAGUCACACUGGAACUGAGACACGGUCCAGACUCCUACGGGAGGCAGCAGUGGGGAAUAUUGGACAAUGGGCGCAAGCCUGAUCCAGCCAUGCCGCGUGUGUGAAGAAGGUCUUCGGAUUGUAAAGCACUUUAAGUUGGGAGGAAGGUCAGUAGCUUAAUACGUUGCUGAUUUGACGGUACCGACAGAAUAAGCACCGGCUAACUCUGUGCCAGCAGCCGCCGUAAUAC